GCCUCCUUAGCUCAGUUGGUAGAGCGUUAGACGUUUAAUAUAACGGUCAGGGAUUCGAGUCCCCUACGGGGCU
rfam:Angiostrongylus cantonensis strain Taiwan genome assembly, scaffold: ACAC_contig0008785